ACGAAGACGACUCGGUAUCGGGUAAGGGUCAGGAUGUGCAGGACUGCAACACUCAGUCGCUACUGCUGGAAACGUAAACCGGCGCAACCCCUUCGGAAAGCCAUCUGGCAGGACCUACCAAAGCUGGCUUGGCAAUCACACGCCUACCUCUCUGCAUUCUUCCAGCAGAACUGUGGAGCGAUGCUCACCGAAAAACAUCUACCGAAAUGUUCGCAGGACUGUGUGUAGUAACAGAGAACGGAAAGUGACAUAAAUGUCCACCAGAGGCAGAGCAGGUGGCCUGAGAGCGUCCUGGCACCAACUCCCCUCCUGCCGUGAGCAUGAGCUGCUGCGCUGUGUGUGCCACACGUGGACGGACCCCAGAAAUAGCACGAGGAAAGAAGGCACCAAAUAAAGUACAUACACACGGUUCCACUUAAAUAAAGUUCGAAAACUGGCGACGUCGUCCACCGUGUUAGAAGCCAGUCCUACUGACUGCACGUGUCCCUUUGGUGUGUGAUUCUUCGAGAUAAGCAAUGAGCUCUUCCUGUAGUAAAGGACGGGAAAUCGCUGGGAUUUCAUCAGAACUGUCCAAACUGAGGAUGUGGCAAGAAUAAUAUUCUUACUAAUCUUCACUGUUGUGACAGAGACAGCCAGCGAGAGAGGGAACACAAGCAGGGGGAGUGGGAGAGGAAGAAGCAGG